CGUGAGCUUGCCUUCCCUGAUUACCAGGCUUUUACAUGAGCUGUGUUGGAGCUUGUGCCCUCGGCACCCCAUUCCCCCCUAAAAAAAAAAGGCUGAUCGCGGAGGCGGGCAACAGCCUGAUCCUCAGGGUCCCCACAGCCAGGGCUGAGACCUCCCCAGGCUCUGAAGCAUGCAGUUGGCUGUGUCCUGGAUGGGCUCCUCCUCUCCAACUCUGGGGAUUACAUAACUGGCAGCAACUCCCUUUCACUCUGGCUGCCAAAAAGCUCAAAGCCGAACUCAGGUACAAGGGCAGUGGCAGGGACAAGUGGGCCCCUCUCCCCUACUCAUGCCUUAUGAUCCCAGUGCUUUGCUCUGAUUUACUCCCAUUUUCAGCCAACCACACCCAUCCUUAUGACAAACAUCAGUCCCCGAGUCCUGUCUGCUGGGGGCCUACUAUGUGCCAAGCACUAUUCUUGAGGCUAAAAAUAAGAGCUAUCCUUAUCGUUCAUUACUGUACGCCAGCCACUCGUGCUUAGUGUUUUCCAAUCCUUACAAAAGGCCCUGCAGGAUGGGUCUUCUCCGCAUUUUACAGAUGGCAAUAGUAAGUCCAUUCUGCGUUUUAAUGGAGCUGAGCAGAGAGAACCGGCUGCCCAAGACAACAGUGUGUGUCUGACAAAGGGAGAGGGGCUGGCUCACAAAACAUAGUUCUCCUCUCUCUCCAUGUCUGUCCCCCCUACUCAGAUGGGCCCAGGGGCAGGGGCAGCGGCAGCUGGGAUCCUGUUUCUCUUCACCUCCCCAGCAGCCAGCCCAGGGCUUGGGCACUGGGGACUGCUCCUUGGUUGAGCAGAGGCCCCCUGAGCCUCCCAGCCCCUCACCCAGCCCUCAGGCUCCUGAAAGGAACCAGCCCCAGUAUUCCUGCAAAACCUCCACAUUAGCACCUUCUGCUCCUUUUCCUUUUUAUUAAAAAAUAGAUCAAGAAAAUAUACACACUUCAGUCCAUCCACCAUGGUGGA
rnacentral:lncRNA from 10 species